rnacentral:rRNA from 1 species
AAUCUUCCGCAAUGGACGCAAGUCUGACGGAGCAACGCCGCGUGAGUGAGGAAGGUCUUCGGAUCGUAAAACUCUGUUGUUAGGGAAGAACACGUACGAGAGUCACUGCUCGUACCUUGACGGUACCUAACCAGAAAGCCACGGCUAACUACGUUCCAGCAGCCGCGGUAAUACGUAGGUGGCAAGCGUUGUCCGGAAUUAUUGGGCGUAAAGCGCGCGCAGGCGGUUCUUUAAGUCCGGUGUUUAAGCCCGGGGCUCAACCUCGGGACGCACGGGAAACUGGGAGACUUGAGUGCAGAAGAGGAGAGUGGAAUUCCAUGUGUAGCGGUGAAAUGCGUAGAGAUAUGGAGGAACACCAGUGGCGAAGGCGACUCUCUGGUCUGUAACUGACGCUGAGGCGCGAAAGCGUGGGGAUCAAACA